rnacentral:rRNA from 1 species
GAUGAACGCUGGCGGCGUGCCUAAUACAUGCAAGUCGAGCGAACAGAUGAGGAGCUUGCUCCUCUGACGUUAGCGGCGGACGGGUGAGUAACACGUGGAUAACCUACCUAUAAGACUGGGAUAACUUCGGGAAACCGGAGCUAAUACCGGAUAAUAUAUUGAACCGCAUGGUUCAAUAGUGAAAGACGGUUUUGCUGUCACUUAUAGAUGGAUCCGCGCCGCAUUAGCUAGUUGGUAAGGUAACGGCUUAACAAGGCAACGAUGCGUAGCCGACCUGAGAGGGUGAUCGGCCACCCUGGAUCUGAGACACGGUCCAGACUCCUACGGGAGGCAGCAGUAGGGAAUCUUCCGCAAUGGGCGAAAGCCUGACCGAGCAACGCCGCGUGAGUGAUGAAGGUCUUCGGAUCGUAAAACUCUGUUAUUAGGGAAGAACAAAUGUGUAAGUAACUAUGCACGUCUUGACGGUACCUAAUCAGAAAGCCACGGCUAACUACGUG